AUUGAACGCUGGCGGCAUGCCUUACACAUGCAAGUCGAACGGUAACAGGUCUUCGGAUGCUGACGAGUGGCGAACGGGUGAGUAAUACAUCGGAACGCGCCUAGUAGUGGGGGAUAACUACUCGAAAGAGUGGCUAAUACCGCAUGAGAUCUACGGAUGAAAGCAGGGGAUCGCAAGACCUUGUGCUACUAGAGCGGCCGAUGGCAGAUUAGGUAGUUGGUGGGAUAAAAGCUUACCAAGCCGACGAGCUGUAGCUGGUCUGAGAGGACGAUCAGCCACACGUGGACUGAGACACGGCCCAGACUCCUACGGGAGGCAGCAGUGGGGAAUUUUGGACAAUGGGCGAAAGCCCGAUCCAGCAAUGCCGCGUGCAGGAUGAAGGCCUUCGGGUUGUAAACUGCUUUUGUACGGAACGAAAAGCCCCGGGUUAAUACCCUGGGGUCAUGACGGUACCGUAAGAAUAAGCACCGGCUAACUACGUGCCAGCCGCCGCGGUAA
rnacentral:rRNA from 1 species